CCCUUAGAUGUUCUGGGCCGCACGCGCGCUACACUGAUGCAUUCAACGAGUCUAAAACCUGCUCUGAUAGGGGUGGGUAAUCUUUUGAAUGUGCAUCGUGAUUGGGAUAGAUGAUUGCAAUUUUUCAUCUUCAACGAGGAAUGCCUAGUAAACGCAAGUCAUCAGCUUGCAUUGAUUACGUCCCUGCCCUUUGUACACACCGCCCGUCGCUCCUACCGAUUGAGUGCUCAGGUGAAUAAUUCGGACUGCAGCAAUGUUUGGAUCCCGAACGUUGCAGCGGAAAGUUUAGUGAACCUUAUCACUUAGAGGAAGGAGAAGUCGUAGCA
rnacentral:rRNA from 1 species